CGCGAGGCGGGGGCGCCCCUGCCUGUCCCGGGCCCGCCCGCCGCAGCCCCUCGUAACCCCUGUGUUUCUCUUGGUUUUCAGAGAUCCCCCUGUACUUUGUGGACUUGCAGGAUGACUUAAACGACUAGCCCACAGUGCGGACUGAGCUGAUGGAGCAGAUUCCUCCUAUUGCCAUUUUUUUUGCAAGGAAAUCGAUGCAGUUUUCCCAUGGUGUUCUCUGAAUACCUCAUACCCAUCGUGGUGAGGCACCUUACAGGUCCAAACAAUCAGGUCACCUGCAGAGUGGCUUCAGUGCUGAGUAAAAGCACACGUGAGCACCUGCUGCCCCGCUUCUGUGAGCCGUGCAAUGAUGGGAAGCUCUUUUAAGUCCGAAAGAUCCCAAGUUCUUUGAGCUCUGCUCAGGUAGCGUCUAGGGGCUGCGGAAGGCCUGUGUGGAGAGCUGCAUGGCCGUGUCCUACAACACCUCCCCCAAGGGCCGCCGGGCCGGGCCGUGCUCUCACACUCUUCAUCGGGCUCGUCAGUGACCCCUGCCCAUGGGUGAGUGCUGUGGGUGGGGCUGGACGGGGCCGGGUGGUGUGGCGCCAUGGGCAGCGCCGGCCUGGGCACGUCUGGCUCCCAGGCCUCGGCUUAGCGCCAUGUCACUCGUCCCUGCUGGCACUGACUGGCGGUCCGAUUUUGGCUGUGUGAGGUCUAAGAGCGGCUAGACUCUCGGGAGCUCUGGGGUGGGCGCCAGGGGAGCGGCGCACAGCGAGCACGCGUGGUGACGGACAGGUUGGGAAUCCGAGGAGGAUGAGCCAGACCAAAUCGGGGCCGUUUCUGUUACCGUUGUUCACGUGCCCAUAAUGACUAAUGAGGCCUGUGAAGUACUGUGUAUCACUGGGUAGUAUUCACCGUGGAAUUAAUAUUUUGGAAGAAGAAAAACUACCUUCAUUUAUUUUGUUGAAAAAUAGCUCAUUUGCAAUUUAGGGCCUAAUUUAAACAGCAGUGAAUGAGCCUAGACAUAACUGGUGGAUAGCAGCCGGCCUGGUGAACAGCCAUCUGUUUCUGCCUGGGGCCCAUCUGGCCCCGCCUCCAUGUUCACUGCACGCUCUCUGGUUGCAGGUGUGCCCGGUCGCCUUCCAGUCCCUUGGCCCCUUCAUUUCCACCUUUGCAAACCCUGCCAGGGCGUGUCUGAUCCGAGAGGACGGCACCCUGAGUAUCCAGCCCCCAGCCACCUGCACCUCCGGGGAGACUGACCGUGCCCCUGGGCCAGCCAGUCCCGGCAGGUGUGAGAGUGCCUCCUCAACCAGGUGCAUGGCAGCCAGGAGCUUGACUGGGACCCGCUUUGCCUGUGCGUCCACCCACGCGCUGGCAGUGGUCUCGUCUGGAGUUUUUGUAGCAGUGACCUUCUAGGCAGGAUGGAAUAUUAGGGCUUUGAUUAUGUAAAGAAGCAAAAGUAAUCGCAAUAACAAUUCUGAGACACGACUACUGCGUCAUAAAUAAUGAAGCUAGCGCGCCUCCCAGAUUUAGAUAAAAUAUUCAUUGAGAGUAGCGAUUAAAUAACCUAUGAAAGAGAAUUUUCUCUUACUUUUUGAUUAAUGAAGUUCUUUGGCUAAUUUACAUUGGGAAAAGUAUAGUCUUCAAAAUGUACCUUUGGUGACAUAGGCCAUACGAGCACAUACAGUGACAUCCCUGCCACCCGCAUGGGCCCUGCGGCCGAUGGUAACCGACUGGGGGAGGGCCAGGCUCAGAUUAGGCAGCUGUUUACGAGUGGGUGAUCUGCACCUCAGGGAGUGCAGGUCCUUGCAGAGGCUGGUCCAUCUUCCCCUCGGGCCCACCUCCUUCCCGGGUUCCCAGGGGGUAGCAGACAGCUGACUGGCAAUUUCAGGACCUCCUCUUUCCCAGCGCCUCCCCCGGUGGAGGUACUGAGGAGCAGGGAACGCUGGCCCCUGCUCCUGGGCUGCUUGAGCAGAGGCCAGGGCACUCACCCUGGACCAUACUGGAGGGUUGGGCCCCGCGCUCUUGGGUUGUUGAUGCACGUCCUUCACCCAGUGGGGCAGAGGGGCUGCCUGGAUCUCGUCUCGUCUCGUGAUGGCAACUCCAGGAGGGCGGGUAGCUGGCGUGGGGGAGGAUGGCCUUGAGAGACUGUGGUUCUCAGGUCUUCUGUAUUCCAGUCUAGUCCAUGGUGCUAAAAUUUGCUUCUUUAAGUUCUGCUUAGUGCAACAAAGCCAGUGCAGACAGAGCAGAUUCACCCUUGGGAAGGACGUUGGCAGAAGCCAGCGACUUCCUGCACGUCAGUAGCCCCUCUGCCAGCCUGGUGGAGAACCCCGUGGGCGGCUCUCCCUUGACUGGCAUGGAGUUGACCAGGCUCUCCUGAGGCUGGUGAUUGUCUCAGUUCCCCGUAUUCACGGCCUCCCCAUCCGCGGUCACUGUAGACUGGGCUGCCACGCCUGCCCAGGGAGGUCGGCGGGUGUGUUCAGUACUGUUACUGGCAGACUCCUCUCCCCGACAUAAACGAGGACUUAGAGCAGCUUCUGAACGUGGCUGGGCCUCAGGAAGAAGGCCACAGCGGACCUGAGCCUGUGCACAGCCGCCAUGUGGCUGGGAGCGAGAUAGACAGCUCGUGGGAGCACGUGAUGACUGACCCAGACGUCCGAGGUUCACGUGGCCCCUUGUCAUGAAGAGAAACGGGCUCCUUCUGUGCUGUGCCUUGCCGUGGCCACUCCCUUCCCUUCCACCUGAGUGCGGUGUGUGUGUGUAUGUGCGUGCGCACAUGUAUGUGCACCUGUGUGUGUUUACCCUGUGCACACAUUGAUAGGAGAGACUCGUUCAGUCUCCCCCUGCUAGGAGUGUCAGCGAUACCUCUGUGCAGGCACCUAGGCAGGGCUUUUUCCUGCUGCUUUUGCAGAAGGACAUGCUCAUGGUCUGGUCCGUUCUCAUAGAGGAGUGGCCAUUUCCUGGGGAUUUGUGUGAUAGGGAAUUCCUAGUUCCGUGGAGGCUUCGACACCAUGUCCCAUGUGUGGGGCUGUCUGUGUUUAUGGACAGCUGGGGUUGGUGCUCCCCCUGGAGCCCAUUAAUGGGGCCUUAGCCUGUCUCUGUACAAGGAAGACCACAGCCUCUUCUUCGGGGUUUUUCUCUGUGUGACGGUGCCCCUGAGCCUCUGCACUGGGGGGCCAGGCCUUGCAGCCCACGCCCUGAGCAUCUGCCCUGGGGGGGCCAGCCUUGCAGCCCACGCCGUGAGCGUCCACACUGGGGGGCCAGGCCUUGCAGCCCAUGCCCUGAGCAUCCGCCCUGGGGGCUAGGCCUUGCAGCCCAUGCCCUGAGCGUCCACCCUGGGGGGGCCAGCCUUGCAGCCCACGCCGUGAGCGUCUGCACCGGGGGCCAGGCCUUGCAGCCCAAGCCCUGAGCGUCCGCACCGGGGGCCAGGCCUUGCAGCCCACGCC